UUGGAGGGUCCGAGCAACAUGGUACGAAUUAUACUUUUGAAAAUUAUUGAUCAAUAUCCUUUACUUAUUGUUAUUAAACAUUCAUUAGGUCCGUCUGCACAAGUCCCGACGCAGCCUCGCAGAUUGAGCCCUGUACGUCCACAGUCAGAUUACUUCGGUGAUGAGGCCGGUCCGUCUUCGGCGGCCCCACACCCUACCCCCCCCCCGCAACGUACUACGGCACGUCAGCGUGGCCUUCUUCUGCUGCACCGUCGUACCACGCAGGCCCCUCCAGCCAGUACACAUGGACGCCUGCCGAGCCUUCACAGUCCUCCUACCCUAGUCAGGAGGAUGAGACUGGCCCCGACACCGCAUACGACAUCGUCCGUGACUUCUUCAGGGGCACACCUGACUACGACGUCCUUCAGCGGUCCCAGGUUUCCAGUGCACCGCUUCGGACC